CACGAACGCUGGCGGCAGGCUUAACACAUGCAAGUCGAGCGCCCCGCAAGGGGAGCGGCAGACGGGUGAGUAACGCGUGGGAAUCUACCCAUCUCUACGGAAUAACGCAUGGAAACGUGUGCUAAUACCGUAUACGUCCUUCGGGAGAAAGAUUUAUCGGAGAUGGAUGCGCCCGCGUUGGAUUAGCUAGUUGGUGGGGUAAAGGCCUACCAAGGCGCCGAUCCAUAGCUGGUCUGAGAGGAUGAUCAGCCACACUGGGACUGAGACACGGCCCAGACUCCUACGGGAGGCAGCAGUGGGGAAUAUUGGACAAUGGGCGCAAGCCUGAUCCAGCCAUGCCGCGUGAGUGAUGAAGGCCCUAGGGUUGUAAAGCUCUUUCACCGGUGAAGAUAAUGACGGUAACCGGAGAAGAAGCCCCGGCUAACUUCGUGCCAGCCGCCGCAGUAACAC
rnacentral:rRNA from 1 species